AUCCAGCUGAUGCAUCGGAAAUAAGACGAAACGCGCGUCCCGGAU
rnacentral:hammerhead_ribozyme from 1 species